CGCAUCUGUGCAUGCAGCAUAUCAAUAAGCGGAGGAAAAGAAACUAACAAGGAUUCCCUUAGUAACGGCGAGUGAAGCGGGAAGAGCUCAAAUUUGAAAUCUUCAAGGUUUUACCUUGACGAAUUGUAGUUUAAAGAAGUGUUUUCUGUUGAAGUUUUGGUAAAAGUUCUUUGGAAUAGGACAUCAUAGAGGGUGAGAAUCCCGUAUUUGACCACUAUUUUCAGCUGUGUGAUACACUUUCAAAGAGUCGGAUUGUUUGGGAAUGCAGUCCAAAAUGGGUGGUAAAUUUCAUCUAAAGCUAAAGUAUUGGCGAGAGACCGAUAGCGAACAAGUACCGUGAGGGAAAGAUGAAAAGAACUUUGAAAAGAGAGUUAAACAGUACGUGAAAUUGUCAAAAGGGAAGCGUUUGACACCAGUGUUGUUUUCUCGAAAAUCAAUUAAAAAGAGUUAGAUUUUGUUGUGUAUUGACCUUAACAGCUUGCAUUUCAAUUUUCUUGCUUUUUUUAAUGCACUUUUCGUUUAACAAGUCAACAUCAGUUUCUUUUGUUGUAAAAAGGUCAUUGGAAGGUGGCUUUCUUUUCGGAGAAAGUGUUUAUAGCCUUUGACUCCUGCAAUCGGAGAGACUGAGGUCUGCAGCGUAGAUCCUUCGGGGUUAGAUACAUUUGUGCUAAGUUAUAGCUUUUUAUAGACAACUUGUUGACUAUGAUUAGUCUUGUAGCUUACUCGCUUAUGCUAUUUUACCUACGCUUAGGAUGUUGAUGUGAUACUGCGAGCA
rnacentral:rRNA from 1 species